rnacentral:rRNA from 1 species
GACGGGGGAUGCGAGCGUUCUCCGGAAUUACUGGGCGUAAAGCGUCUGUAGGCGGUGAUGCAAGUAACUGGUGCAAGACUCUGGCUCAACCUGAGGAAAGCCAGUGAAACUGCAUGACUAGAGGGUGGGAGAGGUAGAAGGAAUUCCUGGAGUAGCGGUGAAAUGCGUAGAGACAGGGAGGAACACCGGAGGCGAAAGCGUUCUGCUGGAACACCACUGACGCUGAGACGAGAAGGCUUGGGGAGCGAACGGG